rnacentral:rRNA from 1 species
UACGGGGGGAGCAAGCGUUGUUCGGAUUUACUGGGCGUAAAGGGCGCGUAGGCGGCCACCGCAAGUCGACUGUGAAAUCUCCGGGCUUAACCCGGAAAGGUCAGCCGAUACUGCGGGGCUAGAGUGCGGUAGGGGAGAUCGGAAUUCCUGGUGUAGCGGUGAAAUGCGCAGAUAUCAGGAGGAACACCGGUGGCGAAGGCGGAUCUCUGGGCCGUAACUGACGCUGAGGAGCGAAAGCAUGGGGAGCGAACAGG